UUAAAAUGAACUGAAAAAUGAGAUUGAACAUUUAAUAUUUUGGAUGUAACUUUUGAAGAAAGUAUGCUUUGGUGCUUAAAAUUGUAUAUGAUUUUAGGUAAGAAACUUUGAUAAUAUUGGCAUAAUUUAGAUUUAUUUUCUUUCUUUUUUUUGAGACAGUCUCACUCAGUCGCCCAGGCUGAAGUUGCAGUGAGCUGAGAUUGUGCCAUUGCACUCCAGCCUGGGCAACAUGAGCGAAACUCCAUCUCAAAAAAACAAAAACAAAAAACAAACUCAAAUUAGCAUGAUAGAUCAGGCUACUUAGAUUCAGCUUUCUGAGAUGUUAUUUGUUAACAUUAAGGCUAAUUUAUUAUAAUGAAAAUGUAAACUUUGAGGUAUGUUAAUAUAUAAACAUCUUUUUCCUUUGGCCUAAAAGGUCUUUAGUAUUCAGCACACUGGGUAAAGUUCAGUUUAGACACAAUCAAAUUGGCAUCUUUUAAACAUAAGUGAAAUAUAGAGAGCUUGAACUUGAGUUACUUAAAGAAGAUACAGUAUAAUUAAUUAUACAGAACAAAACAAAGAUGUGUUUAGAGUGACUCUGGCCUGACUCUUGUCCAUCAGCCCCUAGUAGCCUAUCUUCAGCCUUUGGGAAGUCUUAACUUCCCAGGUUAAACUAGAAUAUUCUGGAACUGAGCUGUCCAAAUUUCAUCUUAAAGUGGAUCAUUUGACUCUGAAACACGAUUCUCAUGG
rnacentral:lncRNA from 10 species